UGGUAGGCAGUCCUCUACAAUAAAAAAUUUUGAGGUAUUGUAUGUAACUAAACUCCUAAAUUUAUAUUUUUAUAGAACCGCCAGCGGGUCUAUUUUAAGUUUCUGUUAUUUAGAAUGAGUCUGAUGAUCUAUCCAUUUGUUUCAGAGAAUACAAGAUAGUUUUGGAUGCACAGCCAUUAUAUCUUCUGGAAUUUUCCGCAUUCAUUAGACAUCGCUGGGAAAACCAAAAUGGGAACAGAUUGAUAAGCAGUGUUACUCUUGCUUUCAUCAACCAACAAGAACUUCAAAUCACAGCUUGGGCUCUUUGCCAUCAUGAAGUUUGGGAGAUUAUGGCCAGUAAUUAUCUCUCAGUGGGACUGUCUGGUAAAAUUUCAAGUUGAAGCAGUAAUAGAAAAUACAUUUCUGAUGCUUUGGACAGUUCAAGCUUUGAGCUGAAUACUGACAGAAGGACCAAUUGAACUUGCUUUGCAAUUGGAACCCUUAGAAGAUGGAACAUGACUUAUUGAUAGUGCACAACUGGCUUUUUCUGUUGCAGUUCUUUACAGGCCUUGAAGGGAAUUUUCAGUGUCAUUUUCUUUCUUCACUUGUACUGGCCUAUGCUUUGAACCUAGUUUUUGCACCUUUUCAGGAUAAUCUUGAUCCUCAAUUACUUAUCUAUAUGUUUAUAAAUUCCUACUUCUUACAUUUGAGUCUUGAAAUACAUACAUUUAAAACUUCACCUCUAGAAAAAGUUAGCAUA